GCAUAUUGGGCUAUUAAAGAGCUCAACUAUGAUUUUAAACUUCCCGGUGAGAAGAGGUUAUUUGAUAUCAGCUCACUCGAUGAAUGGAGAACCCAAGCCUACGAAAAUGCCAAGUUAUUUAAAGAAAAAGUUAAAAGAUGGCAUGAUAAAAGGAUACAAAAGCAUGAGUUUAAUGUAGGUGAUUAUGUAUUGCUAUACAACUCUCGUUUAAGAUUUUUUGCAGGAAAACUUCUCUCUAAAUGGGAAGGUCCUUACGUUAUCGAGGAGGUCUAUCGUUCCGGUGCCAUAAAAAUCAACAACUUCGAAGGCACAAAUCCGAAGGUGGUGAACGGUCAAAGAAUCAAACAUUAUAUCUCAGGUAAUCCUGUAAAUGUUGAAACCAAUUUUAUUGAAACCGUAACCCCGGAGGAAUACAUAAGGGACACUUUCCAGAAUGUUUCAGACUUCGAAAAGGAAUAG
rnacentral:rRNA from 1 species